AGCUGGUCCAAAAAUAGUGAGUUAUCUCAAUUGAUUGUUCCCCAUCAGUUACAGAUCCAGCUCCUUGUUCUACUCUUUGCCCCCUUCUCACUACUGCACUUGACUAGUUUAAA
ensembl:misc_RNA Y_RNA Y RNA